AUUGAACGCUGGCGGUAUGCUUAAGACAUGCAAGUCGAACGGUAACAGACCUUCGGGUGCUGACGAGUGGCGGACGGGUGAGUAACACGUGGGAAUCUACCUUGUAGUGGGGGAUAAGCCAGGGAAACUUGGACUAAUACCGCAUACGCCCUAAGGGGGAAAGGAGCAAUUCGCUAUAAGAUGAGCCCGCGUCUGAUUAGCUAGUUGGUGAGGUAAAGGCUCACCAAGGCGACGAUCAGUAGCUGGUCUGAGAGGAUGGCCAGCCACAUUGGGACUGAGACACGGCCCAGACUCCUACGGGAGGCAGCAGUCGGGAAUAUUGGACAAUGGGGGCAACCCUGAUCCAGCAAUACCGCGUGUGUGAAGAAGGCCUGCGGGUUGUAAAGCACUUUUAGUAGGGAAGAUAAUGACGUUACCUACAGAAAAGACACCGGCUAAC
rnacentral:rRNA from 1 species